rnacentral:rRNA from 1 species
UACGAGGGGGGCGAGCGUUGUUCGGAAUUAUUGGGCGUAAAGGGCGCGUAGGCGGUGCGGUAAGUCACCUGUGAAACCUCUGGGCUUAACUCAGAGCCUGCAGGCGAAACUGCCGUGCUGGAGUGUGGGAGAGGUGCGUGGAAUUCCCGGUGUAGCGGUGAAAUGCGUAGAUAUCAGGAGGAACACCUGUGGUGUAGACAGCUUACUGGACCAUUUCUGACGCUGAGACACGAAAGCGUGGGGAUCAAACAGG